AGGAUGAACGCUGGCGGCGUGCUUAACACAUGCAAGUCGAACGAUGAAGCGGAGCUUGCUCUGUGGAUUAGUGGCGAACGGGUGAGUAACACGUGAGUAACCUGCCCUUGACUCUGGGAUAAGCACUGGAAACGGUGUCUAAUACCGGAUACGAGCUUCAGCCGCAUGGCUAGGAGUUGGAAAGAAUUUCGGUCAAGGAUGGACUCGCGGCCUAUCAGGUAGUUGGUGAGGUAAUGGCCCACCAAGCCUACGACGGGUAGCCGGCCUGAGAGGGUGACCGGCCACACUGGGACUGAGACACGGCCCAGACUCCUACGGGAGGCAGCAGUGGGGAAUAUUGCACAAUGGGCGCAAGCCUGAUGCAGCAACGCCGCGUGAGGGACGACGGCCUUCGGGUUGUAACCUCUUUAGUAGGAAGAAGCGAAGUGACGGUACCUGCAGAAAAGCACCGGCUAACUACGCGCCAGCAGCCGC
rnacentral:rRNA from 1 species